GAUAACGUUUAAUGCAGUCUGUAAAGCUAUUAAGAUAUGUUGAUAUUAAUUGAGCAUGAUUAAUGUAUUAUGCAAUAUGUGAGAUAUAAUGAAAUGAUUAUGAUUCUAUUGAAUUGCUGUUGAUAUAUUGAUAUCUCCCUGCUGUUAUGUGACUUGACUAUGUUGCUGCUGUUAUUUAACUGAGUAUGCAAUGUUUAUUUAUGAAUAUAGUGAAAAUGAUGACGUUUCGCUUCAAGUUAUUGAAUGCACAUGAUUACGAU
rnacentral:lncRNA from 1 species